rnacentral:rRNA from 1 species
AUCAACGCUGGCGGCGCGCCUAGCACAUGCAAGUCGAGCGAGAAAGUCCGGGCAACCGGAUGAGUAAAGCGGCGUACGGGUGAGUAACACGUGGGUAAUCUACCUCUUAGUGGGAAUAACGCUGGGAAACCGGCGCUAAUACCGCAUAAUCCCGUGAGGGGGAAAGCAGCAAUGCGCUGAGAGAGGAGCCCGCGGCCGAUUAGCUGGAUGGUAGGGUAACGGCCUACCAUGGCUCAGAUCGGUAGCCGGCCUGAGAGGGCACACGGCCACACUGGCACUGAAACACGGGCCAGACUCCUACGGGAGGCAGCAGUGGGGAUAUUGCACAAUGGGGGGGAAACCCUGAUGCAGCGACGCCGCGUGAGCGAUGAAGCCCUUCGGGGUGUAAAGCUCUUUCGCAGGGACGAUGAUGACGGUACCUGCAGAAGCAGCUGCGGCUAACUACGUGCCAGCAGCCGCGGUAAUACGUAGGCAGCAAGCGUUGUUCGGAAUUACUGGGCGUAAAGGGUGCGCAGGCGGUCCUGUAAGUCUGGUGUGAAAUCUCCCGGCUCAACUGGGAGGGUGGCGCCGGAAACUGCAGGGCUUCGAGUGCGGGAGAGGAGAGUGGAAUUCCUGGUGUAGCGGUGAAAUGCGUAGAGAUCAGGAGGAACACACCGGUGGUGUAAACGGCUCUCUGGACCGUAACUGACGCUGAGGCACGAAAGCGUGGGGAGCAAACAGGAUUAGAUACCCUGGUAGUCCACGCCCCUAAACGAUGCAUAAUUUGGGUGUGGGUCAUUUCAGUUGAUCCGUGCCGGAGCUAACCGCGUUAAAUAUGCCGCCUGGGGAGUACAGUCGCAAGGCUGAAACUCAAAGGAAUUGACGGGGGCCCGCACAAGCGGGUGGAGCAUGUGGUUCAAUUCGACGCAACGCGAAGAACCUUACCCUGGGCUCGAACGGCUGGAUCAACGGCGUGGAAACAUCCGCUACACCCGCAAGGGGGUCCAGUCGAGGUGCUGCAUGGCUGUCGUCAGCUCGUGACUCGUGAGAUGUUGGUGUUAAGUCCCGCAACGAGCGCAACCCUUGUCCUGUGUUGCCAUGCCCGCAAGGGCGGAACUCGCAGGAGACCGCCAGCGAUAAGCUGGAGGAAGGUGGGGAUGACGUCAAGUCGUCAUGGCCUUUAUGUCCAGGGCUACACACGUGCUACAAUGGCCGGUACAAUGCGUUCCGAAGCCGCGACGGUGGAGGCAAAUACGUUCAUUAAAAGCCGGUCUCAGUUCGGAUUGCAGGCUUGCAACUCGCCUGCAUGAAGCUGGAAUCGCUAGUAAUGGCAGAUCAGCACGCUGCCGUGAAUACGUUCCCCCGGGCCUUGUACACACCGCCCGUCACAUCACGAAAGUGGGUUGUACUAGAAGCCCGCAGGCCGACCCGCAAGGGGGGCAGCGGUCCAAGCGUAUGACUCAUGAUUGGGGUG